rnacentral:misc_RNA from 1 species
UUUCCUUUUUUUUUUUUGUUUUUCGACGGAACACACGAUUAUUAUUUGGUCUGUUUUCUGGUAUGCGUAUUUUUGUUCUUUUCUUCAAGCGGUCUCUUUCUAAUUCUAAUAAGUAGUGUAUUACUAUAUGCUAGAAAAAUAUGUUUCCUAAAAUUGAUGUGAUUUCACAAUUGAAUUUAGGGGUUAGCCGGAAGGACCUCUCCAUUCUGGCAGAACAUAGUUUAUUGAUGAAUUUACUUUGGAGACUUUUUGAGGGCCAGCCUGAGAGCCUAAAAAUUGCGACCCUGGUUAUGACUGUAAAUAAAAAGAGUUAGAGGGACCAGAAUGCAACAAUAACUGUGUCGCAAACAUCGCGGAAGUCCAACGAGAAAAAAAAAAAAAA